AUGAACUAUUGGGCUCUCCCAGUGAGGUGCUCCUGUUGGCUCUGCUUCUCAGUUUUGUUGUGUCACAGUAUGUUGGGAAGGGUCUUUGGUGUGUUCUGUUCUGCUGUGUGCGGAGAACUCUGGAAACUGUGGAGCGUGCUACUGAAAUACCCAUGGCAGUUCUGUAUCUAUGCUGAAGACGUUUUUAGCAGUGAAACCUCCAGGAUGGAGAAUAGAAAAGAGUACCACUGGAAUGCACAGAGUGGAGGUGAGGAGUGGUACAUCCAACUGGCUGUGGACUCAGCUCACAGCAUGUGCAUUUCUCAAGGAGUUUGGGUGCCUGGUUCACAGAUUGCAGCUGUCGUGGAGCACACAUCACAAGGCUAUGCAUUAUGAAUGUGUCUGUCUUUUAACUUGAGGCACAGGCGAAGUACAAAGAUAAGUUAGGCCCUCCCUAAAUGAAGGAAUGGAUGACUUUCUAAACUCGUAUAAGUCAAAUCUUGGGCAUGCAAAGCACCAGCACAACCUCUGGUGAAAGGCAUGUGGCCGUGGCCUCUGCGCUAGCUCACCUGGGAAAUUUUGGAGUUGCACUGCAACUCUUUCUGCGGUUCUGACUGUGAAGAUGAUGCACUAGGAAGAAGUAG
rnacentral:lncRNA from 1 species